GAUGAACGCUAGCGGGAGGCCUAACACAUGCAAGCCGAGCGGUAGAGAUUCUUCGGAAUCUUGAGAGCGGCGUACGGGUGCGGAACACGUGUGCAACCUGCCUUUAUCAGGGGGAUAGCCUUUCGAAAGGAAGAUUAAUACCCCAUAAUAUAUUUGAUGGCAUCAUUAGAUAUUGAAAGCUUUGGCGGAUAGAGAUGGGCACGCGCAAGAUUAGAUAGUUGGUGAGGUAACGGCUCACCAAGUCGAUGAUCUUUAGGGGGCCUGAGAGGGUGAUCCCCCACACGGGUACUGAGACACGGACCAGACUCCUACGGGAGGCAGCAGUGAGGAAUAUUGGACAAUGGGUUAGCGCCUGAUCCAGCCAUCCCGCGUGAAGGACGACGGCCCUAUGGGUUGUAAACUUCUUUUGUACAGGGAUAAACCUACUCUCGUGAGAGUAGCUGAAGGUACUGUACGAAUAAGCACCGGCUAACUCCGUG
rnacentral:rRNA from 1 species